rnacentral:rRNA from 1 species
UACAGAGGUCUCAAGCGUUGUUCGGAUUCAUUGGGCGUAAAGGGGUGCGUAGGUGGCGCCGUAAGUCAGGUGUGAAAUCUCGGGGCUUAACCCCGAAACUGCACUUGAUACUGCGGUGCUCGAGUACUGGAGAGGAGAUUGGAAUUUACGGUGUAGCAGUGAAAUGCGUAGAGAUCGUAAGGAAGACCAGUGGCGAAGGCGAGUUUCUGGACAGUAACUGACGCUGAGGCACGAAGGCCAGGGGAGCAAACGGG